AUUGAACGCUGGCGGCAGGCCUAACACAUGCAAGUCGAACGAGUGGCGGACGGGUGAGUAAUGUAUGGGAAACUGCCCGAUGGAGGGGGAUAACUACUGGAACCGGUAGCUAAUACCGCAUACCAUCGGAUGUGCCCAGAUGGGAUUAGCUAGUAGGUGGGGUAAAGGCUCACCCAGGCGACGAUCCCUAGCUGGCCUGAGAGGAGGACCAGCAACACUGGAACUGAGAAACGGUCCAGACUCCUACGGGAGGCAGCAGUGGGGAAUAUUGGACAAGGGGCGCAAGCCUGAUGCGGCCAUGCCGCGUGGAUGAAGAAGGCCUUCGGGUUGUAAAGUACUUUCAGCGGGGAGGCGUUACCCGCAGAAGAAGCACCGGCUAACUCCGUGCCAGCAGCCGCGGUAAUUC
rnacentral:rRNA from 1 species